UACGUAGGGCGCAAGCGUUGUCCGGAAUUAUUGGGCGUAAAGAGCUCGUAGGCGGCUUGUCACGUCGGGUGUGAAAGCCCGGGGCUUAACCCCGGGUCUGCAUUCGAUACGGGCAGGCUAGAGUGUGGUAGGGGAGAUCGGAAUUCCUGGUGUAGCGGUGAAAUGCGCAGAUAUCAGGAGGAACACCGGUGGCGAAGGCGGAUCUCUGGGCCUGUACUGACGCUGAGGAACGAAAGCGUGGGGAGCGAACAGG
rnacentral:rRNA from 1 species